UCCCACUCAAAAUUUCUCACUUUUAAAAGUUAACCGCCCAUUCAUUAAUUCUCCUUUCUCCCCUACAUCUCAGCCAUAAAUCGGUUCCCCUGCCCCCAAAUCCAACUGCGAUAAACAGAGAUAUUGAGUUGUGGAUGAUUCUUGAAGAUGAUUUGAUCACAGUUGCUCACCGCUACAACACGAAUGAUUCUCUCUAUAUCUCUUGUUGUCCACUGCACUACCAUCGCACCACCACAUUUUGCACACAACCUAUUUGAUGAAAUGCCACAUAGAGCUGGGAAUUCUGGAAAUAUCCUUUUGGUCAUAGUCCUUGAAAUAUGCAUCUAGGGUGGUAUUCCUUUUGGAGAACAAUUGUCUGUAAGUCUAAGGCACUCUCAAGGUAUAUCAUCCUUUUAAUUUAUUUUAUACAUUUAGAUAUUUUAUUUUGUUUGUUUUUCAAAAAUGGAAUACACAAGAGAAGACUUCGGGUGAGGAAAUUGAAUCUAUGGUCGUAGACUUGAUGGAGCGUAGGAUUAAGGAGGUGUUUGGGGUCUGGACAUGAACUCCGUAAAGGUAUCUCAAGGUUAGCUCAAAUUUGACCAUUUAAUGUUCAUUUCUAUUUAAGAAAGUAUAAAGAUAUGUAUUGAUACAGAAUGAUCUUUCUAGUUUUAAAGCCUUUUCUUACGGUUCCUAAUGUAUAUAAUAUAUAUUUACAUAUCCAUAAUUGUUAUUUAAUGUCUUCAUUUGAUAAUCGCAAGAACUAGUGAGAUUGUUUUUGCACAUGAAAAACAGAUAAUUGUCAAAAGCCAUCAAUGAGGUACGAUAAUAAUAACCACGUGUAACACAGACCAUGCCCAUGUAUCAGUCUAGUCUCUUAAUGACAUGUUUUUGCAAUGUAGUUCGUGCUGCUAUAAAGUUGAAAUUUGAUUAUCAUAGGGCACUGUUUGGGUUAGUUUAAAGAACUUUUCUUCUCUACAAUUCCGGUUGCAAGCAUGGAUUGAAGACGUUGGUUUGGGUUUAAAGUAUGAAGACAUCGGUCGGUUCAGGAAGUUAUUGUGUAUCACUUUCAUAUUUAGAGUUAUAUGUAUUGUUAGAAUUGUUGUGUUAGAGGAAAACUUUUGUAAUAGUGUGUUACUUUGAAAACUUUGUAUUUUAUAUUCUUGGGUUGUAUUAUAUUCAUUCUAAUUAAUUUUGUUUUU